rnacentral:rRNA from 1 species
AACGUAGGUGGCGAGCGUUAUCCGGAAUUACUGGGCGUAAAGCGUGUGCAGGCGGGGGGGUAAGUGGGGUAUGAAAUGUCCCGGCUCAACCGGGAGGGGUUAUGCCAGACUGCAUCUCUUGAGUGCGAGAGAGGAGCGUGGAAUUCCGGGUGUAGUGGUGAAAUGCGUAGAGAUGCGGAGGAACACCGAUGGCGAAGGCAGCCCCCUGGGCUAACACUGACGCUCAUGCACGAAAGCGUGGGGAGCAAACAGG